UAUGUAUCUAUAUGAACAGAAUACUUGCGUAUUUUAAGUAUGCAUUUAUUUCAUACACAAUUAUGUGUUUGGUAGCAAAAGAACGCCAUCAUAUUAGUGGCACAAAUUAAGACAUGAGAUAUGAGUUCAGCUUUGACAAAAAAUUUCAACAUAUGAAAAUUGAAGAAAAAACUUUUUAAAUAGCAUUUUAUACUGUUUAUUAAUAUAAUGAGAUAAGAUUUUGAAUUUAACUUGAGAAAAAGAUUUUUUGGACUUGGUGAAUUUUUUAUUGAACUGCAGCCAUAUGAUAUGAGGUUCUACCGAGAGAUGAGUUCAACUUUGACAAAAAAUUUCAACAUAUGAAAAUUGAAGAAAAACCUUUUUAAUUAUCAUUUAAACAGUUUAUUAAUAUAAUGAGAUAAGAUUUUGAAUUUAACUUGAGAAAAAGAUUUUUUGGACUUGGUGAAUUUUUUAUUGAACUUCAGCCAUAUGAUAUGAGGUUCUACCGAGAUAUGAGUUCAACAUUGAAAAAAAAUUUCAACAUAUGAAAAUUGAAGAAAAAACUUUUUAAAUAUCAUUUUAUACAGAUUAUUAAUAUAAUGAGAUACGAUUUUGAAUUUAACUUGAGAAAAAAAUUUUUUGGACUUGGUGAAUUUUUUAUUGAACUGCAGCCAUAUGAUAUGAGGUUCUACCGAGAUAUGAGUUCAACUUUGACAAAAAAUUUCAACAUAUGAAAAUUGUAGAAAAAACUUUUUAUAUAUCAUUUUAUACAGUUUUUUUAAUAAAAUGAGAUAAGAUUUGAAUUUAACUUGAGAAAAAAAUUUUUUGGACUUGGUGAAUUUUUUAUUGAACUGCAGCCAUAUGAUAUAAGGUUCUACCGAGAUAUGAGUUCAACUUUGACAAAAAUUUUAAACAAUGUUAAACAAUUUACGAUUGUACUAGUAUUUAAUACAAAUUAUUGAUAACAAAAUAAUGAAGUUUUGCUGUUGUAUUA